GUGCUUGCUCAGGCAGCACAUAUGAUAAAUUGGAAUCGAUACAGAGAAGAUUAGCAGGGCCCCUGCGCAAGGAUGACACGCAAAUCGUGAAGCGUUUCCACAUUUU
rnacentral:snRNA from 1 species